rnacentral:rRNA from 1 species
GACGAACGCUGGCGGCGUGCUUAACACAUGCAAGUCGAACGAAGUGGCGUACGGGUGAGUAACGCGUAAUCAACCUGCCCUUCAGAGGGGUACAACAGUUGGAACCGACUGCUCAUACCGCAUACUGAAGUAGGGGAGUGCGUCUGCUUAGCUGGUUGGGGGGGUAACGGCCCAACAAGGCGAUGAUCAGUAGCCGGUCUGAGAGGGUGAACGGGCACAUUGGGACUGAGGCACGGCCCAGACUCCUAAGGGAGGCAGCAGUUGGGAAUCUUCCGCAAUGGAGGAAAGUCUGACGGAGCAACGCCGGGUGAGUGAUGACGGCUUUCCGGUUGUAAAGCUCUGUUAAUCGGGACGCGGUACCGGAAUAGAAAGCAACGGCUAACUACGUGCCAGCCGCCGCGGUAAUAC